AACGAACGCUGGCGGCAUGCCUAACACAUGCAAGUCGAACGAGACCUUCGGGUCUAGUGGCGCACGGGUGCGUAACGCGUGGGAACCUGCCCUUAGGUUCGGAAUAACUCCCCGAAAGGGGUGCUAAUACCGGAUAAUGUCCUCGGACCAAAGAUUUAUCGCCUUUGGAUGGGCCCGCGUUGGAUUAGCUAGUUGGUAGGGUAAAAGCCUACCAAGGCGACGAUCCAUAGCUGGUCUGAGAGGAUGAUCGGCCACACUGGGACUGAGACACGGCCCAGACUCCUACGGGAGGCAGCAGUGGGGAAUAUUGGACCAUGGGCGAAAGCCUGAUCCAGCAAUGCCGCGUGAGUGAUGAAGGCCUUAGGGUUGUAAAGCUCUUUUACCCGGGAUGAUAAUGACAGUACCGGGAGAAUAAGCUCCGGCUAACUCCGUG
rnacentral:rRNA from 1 species